rfam:Hordeum vulgare subsp. vulgare, WGS project CAJW01000000 data, contig: morex_contig_50535
UAUGUACUCCCUCCAUCCCAAAAUUCUCAUCUGAGAUUUGUCUAGAUAUAGAUGUAUCUAACACUAAGACACAACUAGAUACAUCCGUAUUUAAACAAAUCUAAGACAAGNAUUUUGGGACGGAGGGAGUAGAUG